NCACGUCUUCAGGGCGGGGCGGAAUUCCCCACCGGCGGUAGGCGGCGCGAGCCGCGAGCCCGCGAGCGCCCGGCCUGCAAGGGUCGGGGUCAGCAGAUCUGGUGCGAUGCCAGGGCCGACGGUCACAGUCCGGAUGAAAGAAGACGUGC
rnacentral:ncRNA from 2 species